rnacentral:rRNA from 1 species
GUUAGGAAUAUUGGACAAUGGGCGCAAGCCUGAUCCAGCCAUGCCGCGUGAGUGAUGAAGGCCUUCGGGUUGUAAAGCUCUUUAGCCGAUGAUUAUAAUGACUGUAGUCGGAAAAUAAGCCCCGGCUAACUUCGUGCCAGCAGCCGCGGUAAUACGAAGGGGGCGAGCGUUAUUCGGAAUCACUGGGCGUAAAGCGUGCGUAGGCGGUUUUGUAAGUUAGGAGUGAAAGCCCAGGGCUCAACCCUGGAAUUGCUCUUAAAACUACAAGGCUAGAAUGUCGGAGAGGAUAGCGGAAUUUCCAGUGUAGCAGUGAAAUGCGUAGAUAUUGGAAGGAACACCAGUGGCGUAAGCGGCUAUCUGGACGACUAUUGACGCUGAGGCACGAAAGCGUGGGGAUCAAACAGGAUUAGAAACCCGAGUAGUCC